UACAGAGGUCCCAAGCGUUGUUCGGAUUCACUGGGCGUAAAGGGUGCGUAGGUGGUGAGGUAAGUCGGAUGUGAAAGCUCCGAGCUCAACUCGGAAAUGGCAUUGGAAACUACCUUGCUCGAGGGUUUGAGGGGGGACUGGAAUACUUGGUGUAGCAGUGAAAUGCGUAGAUAUCAAGUAGAACACCAGUGGCGAAGGCGGCUCACUGGCCCGAUACUGACGCUGAGGCACGAAAGCGUGGGGAGCAAACAGG
rnacentral:rRNA from 1 species